UUCAAUUAGAAGGAUGACUCUAGUGUGACUAGCAAGUUCCCUUCUCAAAGGGAACGUGCCCUUUUGACUCCCAAAGAAAUAAUGCGUAAAUAGAAUCCUUUAUGCAUACGCAGAAAGGUGAUUUAUGUAUUUCAUAUUAUAUGAAAAACAUUGAUAUGAGUUGUACCUGGAAAGGUACAAGACGAUAUCAGUGCAAGCCUAGGAUCAGAACCAUGGCAACUGUCAAGUGAGUCCUUAAGUAUUUAAGAAAUACUAAAGGAUAGAUUCCUCAAAGAAUGAGGAAGAAUUAGAGUAACGUAAAGGAAACGUAAAUGUAUUAGAUUAUGAAUCUAAUCCAUCAUUGGAUGUUUCUUCAUUAUGAAUGAAGAGAUAA
rnacentral:lncRNA from 1 species